GGACGGGUGAGUAAUGCCUAGGAAAUUGCCCUGAUGUGGGGGAUAACCAUUGGAAACGAUGGCUAAUACCGCAUGAUGCCUACGGGCCAAAGAGGGGGACCUUCGGGCCUCUCGCGUCAGGAUAUGCCUAGGUGGGAUUAGCUAGUUGGUGAGGUAAGGGCUCACCAAGGCGACGAUCCCUAGCUGGUCUGAGAGGAUGAUCAGCCACACUGGAACUGAGACACGGUCCAGACUCCUACGGGAGGCAGCAGUGGGGAAUAUUGCACAAUGGGCGCAAGCCUGAUGCAGCCAUGCCGCGUGUGUGAAGAAGGCCUUCGGGUUGUAAAGCACUUUCAGUCGUGAGGAAGGUAGUGUAGUUAAUAGCUGCAUUAUUUGACGUUAGCGACAGAAGAAGCACCGGCUAACUCCGUGCCAGCAGCCGCGGUAAUACGGAGGGUGCGAGCGUUAAUCGGAAUUACUGGGCGUAAAGCGCAUGCAGGUGGUUUGUUAAGUCAGAUGUGAAAGCCCGGGGCUCAACCUCGGAAUUGCAUUUGAAACUGGCAGACUAGAGUACUGUAGAGGGGGGUAGAAUUUCAGGUGUAGCGGUGAAAUGCGUAGAGAUCUGAAGGAAUACCGGUGGCGAAGGCGGCCCCCUGGACAGAUACUGACACUCAGAUGCGAAAGCGUGGGGAGCAAACAGGAUUAGAUACCCUGGUAGUCCACGCCGUAAACGAUGUCUACUUGGAGGUUGUGGCCUUGAGCCGUGGCUUUCGGAGCUAACGCGUUAAGUAGACCGCCUGGGGAGUACGGUCGCAAGAUUAAAACUCAAAUGAAUUGACGGGGGCCCGCACAAGCGGUGGAGCAUGUGGUUUAAUUCGAUGCAACGCGAAGAACCUUACCUACUCUUGACAUCCAGAGAACUUUCCAGAGAUGGAUUGGUGCCUUCGGGAACUCUGAGACAGGUGCUGCAUGGCUGUCGUCAGCUCGUGUUGUGAAAUGUUGGGUUAAGUCCCGCAACGAGCGCAACCCUUAUCCUUGUUUGCCAGCGAGUAAUGUCGGGAACUCCAGGGAGACUGCCGGUGAUAAACCGGAGGAAGGUGGGGACGACGUCAAGUCAUCAUGGCCCUUACGAGUAGGGCUACACACGUGCUACAAUGGCGCAUACAGAGGGCGGCCAACUUGCGAAAGUGAGCGAAUCCCAAAAAGUGCGUCGUAGUCCGGAUUGGAGUCUGCAACUCGACUCCAUGAAGUCGGAAUCGCUAGUAAUCGUGGAUCAGAAUGCCACGGUGAAUACGUUCCCGGGCCUUGUACACACCGCCCGUCACACCAUGGGAGUGGGCUGCAAAAGAAGUAGGUAGUUUAACCUUCGGGGGGACGCUUACCACUUUGUGGUUCAUGACUGGGGUGAAGUCGUAACAAGGUAGCGCUAGGGGAACCUGGCGCUGGAU
rnacentral:rRNA from 1 species